rnacentral:rRNA from 1 species
GAUGAACGCUGGCGGCGUGCCUAAUACAUGCGAGUCGGGCGAACAGACGAGGAGCUUGCUCCUCUGACGUUAGCGGCGGACGGGUGAGUAACACGUGGAUAACCUACCUAUAAGACUGGGAUAACUUCGGGAAACCGGAGCUAAUACCGGAUAAUAUAUUGAACCGCAUGGUUCAAUAGUGAAAGACGGUUUUGCUGUCACUUAUAGAUGGAUCCGCGCCGCAUUAGCUAGUUGGUAAGGUAACGGCUUACCAAGGCAACGAUGCGUAGCCGACCUGAGAGGGUGAUCGGCCACACUGGAACUGAGACACGGUCCAGACUCCUACGGGAGGCAGCAGUAGGGAAUCUUCCGCAAUGGGCGAAAGCCUGACGGAGCAACGCCGCGUGAGUGAUGAAGGUCUUCGGAUCGUAAAACUCUGUUAUUAGGGAAGAACAAAUGUGUAAGUAACUAUGCACGUCUUGACGGUACCUAAUCAGAAAGCCACGGCUAACUACGUG